UGGAAAUAGAGAAUGAGAGCAGGACAGCACUCCCCUUGGAUAGGACGGAAGAAGUCCUAAUGAACUUAACCGUUUUUU
ensembl:snRNA U6atac minor spliceosomal RNA